rnacentral:tRNA from 1 species
ACCUUUGUAGUCUAAUUGUGAAGACACUCGCAUGAUAUGCGUAAAAUCCGGAUUUGAUUCCCGGCUGAGGUA